rnacentral:siRNA from 1 species
GAUCCGGAGUGGCUAGUGAUUC